CACGAAGAUGUGAGGAUGUCUCUUUGAACGAGUGCUUACGAAAUGAAUACAAGGAUUUGGGUCUCUUGAUGUAUUAUGGCCGACUGAUCACGUCUUCCCCACUACAGAGCAGCUUGAAGCUUAGGUUAUUUUUCCACAAAAUCAAGAACCUGUUGAGGUUACAACAUAAGGAUGAAAAGUUAACGGCAGGCGACCAGCUACCCAUGAAUUGAUGAUGUAGGAGUAAACAACUGGAAAAUGUGAAGCGAGAAAAUAUAUUUGAGAAACCACCUUUAUUUAACUGCUUUCGAGUAAUUUCUUGUUCAUUUAUUUGGUGAAAUAAUGCUCGUGUUCGUUUUCUCUUCAUAGAUCGAUGAAUUUCUUCAAAUUAUUUAAUAAGGUUGACCUUCAAAUUCGAGUACACUGACACUGAUAAGCAUAGAGGAUUAAGAGUUGCAUCCCAGAAAAUACUAGAAGCAUAAAACUUAAGCUUUUUUAAGAAGUUUAACCAGGAGUUAAAGAGAUGGGAAAUUAUGGAGAUCAUGAAGAAAGACAAUAACACAGGACGCAGGAGUAGUUUAUUAAGGAAGCUGUCAAUACAGACUGACAAGACCUUCCUAUGAAACAAGUGAGGGAGGAGGAAUCUGAAUAAUGGCUUAUGCCAUCAGGGUCGUCUGCAGUAUUCGAGCUCUUGAAGGAAAUAUUUAGCGGAUUUUGAUGAAAAUGAAAACAAAGAAUUUUUUUCUUGUCUUGAGCAAAGG